CCAACUGACUAAGCUGUGCCAUAGCAUAUAGAUACCUGCAAUAUCAGAAGCAUCGCGAGCGCGUUGCCUAUCCUACUCCUGACCCUCCACAGGAGCUUUAUCCACCUUACUCACUACAGGACGCAAUACUACUUGACAGCAAUAACAUUUAGCUGUGAUCUUUUUUUGAGAUAUUUCCUAUUGUGCCGUAGCUCAAUGAGAUUACAGACUGUUGAAGAUUUUGAAAAAAAGUAUAAACAUAGUCAAUAAGGAAACAAAAAAUUUUAAGCGACCGCCCUUUGUAAUUCAGGCCAACAGCUCAGGCCAAAAACUUUCAUGUGUCAGACUAUAUAAAAUUGUUUUUUUUAUGAUCACUUUUUGAAUAUAUAUUUCUUAAGUAGGAAUAUGAUUUUUACAAUAAUAUUACGCUAGAUUAAGUACAGAGAUUUUUAUAACUCGACCCG
rnacentral:misc_RNA from 1 species